UUUCCCCAUUCAGUCUUCAUACCAACAGCUGUUACUAGCAUCCUUCCUGAACCAUCUUGCACUUUGGUUCCUGAAAGAAGAAAAGGGUUUUUUUCAUCUAUAUUCACAGGUUCACUCUCCCCUGACAAGCUUGACUCAUCAAUCACUAAGCUAUAUCCCGAUAUGUAAAUCCCAUCAGCUGGAACUAUGUCUCCAGUAGAUAAUUGAACAACAUCUCCAAUAACCAAAUCAUAAAUGGAGACUUUUUGUGUUCUCCCAUCCCUUAUUACUUGGAUAGAAAUCUUCUUCUUCUCCUUGUCCAGGUCCCUGAAUUGCAAGGACUGCUUAUAGUCACUAAUAGCAGUAACCAUGACUACCAAGAAUACACUGAGUAUGAUUCCUAAACCAUCAUACAUGCCCUUUGGCCAUCCUUCAGUAGCAAUUCCUACACCUACAGAAACCACAGCACAAACCAUAAGGAUUAUUAGUGUCAAGUCCUGCAGCGCUUCCCAAACAAACAUCCAAAAAC
rnacentral:misc_RNA from 1 species